AACGAACGCUGGCGGCGGGCUUAACACAUGCAAGUCGAGCGCCCCGCAAGGGGAGCGGCAGACGGGUGAGUAACGCGUGGGAAUCUACCCAUCUCUACGGAAUAACUCAGGGAAACUUGUGCUAAUACCGUAUACGCCCUUUUGGGGAAAGAUUUAUCGGAGAUGGAUGAGCCCGCGUUGGAUUAGCUAGUUGGUGGGGUAAAGGCCUACCAAGGCGACGAUCCAUAGCUGGUCUGAGAGGAAGAUCAGCCACAUUGGGACUGAGACACGGCCCAAACUCCUACGGGAGGCGGCAGUGGGGAAUAUUGGACAAUGGGCGCAAGCCUGAUCCAGCCAUGCCGCGUGAGUGAUGAAGGCCCUAGGGUUGUAAAGCUCUUUCACCGGAGAAGAUAAUGACGGUAUCCGGAGAAGAAGCCCCGGCUAACUUCGUGCCAGCCGCCGCAGUAA
rnacentral:rRNA from 1 species